AUACCACUCUUUCUAUGACAAAAACUGCUAUUCACUAGAAGCUGAAAGAGAGAAAAUUCGAAAACGUACAAAGUACACAUGAGCAAAAAGACGACAAAAGUAACAACGACUCAGACGGGAAUACGAGCCAGGUAUUUGCCUGACGUUCGGUGUUGGGCUCGGAACCGGCGAGGCGGCUUCUUUCCGCGGAGAUUCGUCAUGGUUGGCGGCGAGUAGGUCGGUAACCCACCCGACCCGUCUUGAAACACGGACCAAGGAGUCUAGCAUGUGCGCGAGUCAAUGGGUCCCUCAAUACCCAGAGGCGCAAUGAAACCCGAAGGCACGGCGUCGUGCCGUGCCCAGUUGCGAUCCCGGGCCGCCCAGGGGUCCGAUGAAGGGAGCAGCAAAAGCCCGCCCGACACGCUCACGUCGUGGGGGCGGCGCUAGAGCGCACACGUUGGCACCCGAAAGAUGGUGAACUAUGCCCGGGCAGGACGAGGCCAGAGGAAACUCUGCUGGAGGUCCGAAGCCCUUCUGACGUGCAAAUCGAUCGUCCGACCGAGGUAUAGGGGCGAAAGACUAAUCGAACCAUCUAGUAGCUGGUUCCCUCCGAAGUUUCCCUCAUGAUAGCUGGUGCUUGUUGCCGAGACCUGUCACACCUGGUAAAGCGAAUGAUUAGAGGCAUUGGGGUCGAAACGACCUCACCCUAUUCUCAAACUUUCAAUCGGUGUGUCGGAGGUUUUCUGGUCUGAGGCCUCCGGAAGCAAUGAGAGUGCCAAGUGGGCCACUUUUGGUAAGCAGAAUUGGCGCUGUGGGAUGACCAACGCCGG
rnacentral:ncRNA from 1 species